CCUACGGGUGGCAGCAGUGAGGAAUAUUGGUCAAUGGGCGCGAGCCUGAACCAGCCAAGUCGCGUGAGGGAUGACGGCCCUACGGGUUGUAAACCUCUUUUGCCGGGGAGCAACGGUCGUCACGUGUGGCGCCACUGAGAGUACCCGGAUAAAAAGCAUCGGCUAACUCCGUGCCAGCAGCCGCGGUAAUACGGAGGAUGCGAGCGUUAUCCGAAUUUAUUGGGUUUAAAGGGUGCGUAGGCGGAACGUUAAGUCAGUGGUAAAAUUGAGGGGCUAAACCCCUUCCCGCCAUUGAAACUGGCGCUCUUGAGUGGAAGAGAAGUAUGCGGAAUGCGUGGUGUAGCGGUGAAAUGCAUAGAUAUGACGCAGAACCCCGAUUGCGAAGGCAGCAUGCCGGCUUCCGACUGACGCUGAAGCACGAAAGCGUGGGGAUCGAACAGGAUUAGAUACCCUGGUAGUC
rnacentral:rRNA from 1 species